GGACGACGCUGGCGGCGUUGCCUAACACAUGCAAGUCGAACGAAGAUUGUUUAGAAGGAGACUUCGGUCAAUUUUCUAUUUAAUCUUAGUGGCGGACGGGUGAGUAACGCGUGAGUAACCUGCCGUUCAGAGGGGGACAACAGUUGGAAACGACUGCUAAUACCGCAUAACGUACAGUUUUGGCAUCAUUACUGUACCAAAGGAGCAAUCCGCUGAAUGAUGGACUCGCGUCCGAUUAGAUAGUUGGUGAGGUAACGGCCCACCAAGUCGACGAUCGGUAGCCGGACUGAGAGGUUGAACGGCCACAUUGGGACUGAGACACGGCCCAGACUCCUACGGGAGGCAGCAGUGGGGGAUAUUGCACAAUGGGCGAAAGCCUGAUGCAGCAACGCCGCGUGAGGGAAGAAGGUCUUCGGAUUGUAAACCUUUGUUUUUAGUGACGAACAAAUGACGGUAGCUAAAGAGGAAGCCACGGCUAACUACGUG
rnacentral:rRNA from 1 species